UGCCCUUAAGGCGUUCAAGUCCUAGGCAGGAGGAAAUAGCCAAGGCCUCCCAGCUGUUGAUAAGUGUGCUGGGAUAUGUUACAAGAGUGAGGGUAACAUGGCAGGGAAGGACUUAGCCAUGUUACAGCAGGGCUCAGGCUCAGGGUUUUAAUGGUGCUGUUUUGACGUGAACAGAAUGUACUAUUGUUAUGGCACCAAGGAUCAAUGUUUACACAGUCCAUUAAUUCCUAACCUGAUUUGUUGCAGGACGAGAACAACAACAACAACAACAACAACAACAACAACAAGAGGAGGAGGGGGAGGAGGGUGGUACACAGGAGUGACUGGACUUGUCAAGCCAGUCAGUGAACCCAGUCUGCAAGACUUCUUGGUCAAGAUGGGACACAACCUAACACGGAAACCCUUCAAGCUGGAGAACCAAGACUGGGUGGGUGUUUGGUGACCCAGGGCGUUGAGGGAAGCCAGACGCUCUCCUAUAGGGCUUCAGGCAGAUACAACUCCCUCAUCACCUGCUUCACUCCAGCCCAGACUUUGCCACUCACACCCAACAGCUUCAUCUUAAGGCAGAAGAAGAAGAAGAAGAAGAAGAAGAAGAAGAAGAAGAAAACACACAGAGAGAGAAGAGGAGGAAGAAGAAGAGGAAGGACUUGUAAUAUGGCAGACAUCAAACCAAUGAAUCGAGUGGCUGAAUUGACUCCAUUUCUCGAGGGGUGGCUUCGUAUCCCAGCGUGAUCUCCUGCAAGGCAUCCCAGCACACACCACAUGCUCUGGAGGGGGAGAGAACGUCAAGAUGAGUCAAUAUGAAUCGGCCUCGUCUUGGAGGAAAUGUACCAUUUUGAUUUUGCUCUCAAUAAAUGUGGACCCUAA